UUUUUCUUCCCAACACAGACAUCUGAGGACAAAGCACUGGGCAAUGGAGACCACACAGGUACCAACUGAAGCUGGAGUGCAAAUUUCAUCCUACAUAUCCUGUGAAAGAAUCAAUGAG
rnacentral:lncRNA from 1 species